rnacentral:rRNA from 1 species
ACAUCGCCUCUUGAUCAAAAUAUGAGAGGUCCAGCCUGCCCAGUGACCUAGUUCAACGGCCACGGUAUCCUGACCGUGCGAAGGUAGCGUAAUCACUUGUUCUUUAAAUGGGGACUAGUAUGAAUGGCAUCACGAGGGUUAAACUGUCUCCUUUUUCUAAUCAGUGAAAUUAAUCUCCCCGUGAAGAAGCGAGGAUAACUUUAUAAGACGAGAAGACCCUAUGGAGCUUAAAACGAAUUUACACCUGCUUUUUAUUUAUUUUACUUCCCGAAUUUACACAAACAUUAUAGCACAAUUGACAUGUAGUUUUCGAUUGGGGUGAUCCUGGGGUAAAAAAUAACCCCCAGGACGACAAAGGGCCACCCUUGAGCCAAAAGCCACAACUUUAAGCACUAAAAAAUUAACGCAACUUGAC